rnacentral:rRNA from 1 species
AAACCAACCGGGAUUGCCUUAGUAACGGCGAGUGAAGCGGCAAAAGCUCAAAUUUGAAAUCUGGUACCUUCGGUGCCCGAGUUGUAAUUUGGAGAAGGUAACUUUGGGGCUGGUCCUUGUCUAUGUUCCUUGGAACAGGACGUCAUAGAGGGUGAGAAUCCCGUGUGGCGAGGAUCCCAGUUCUUUGUAAAGUGCUUUCGAAGAGUCGAGUUGUUUGGGAAUGCAGCUCUAAGUGGGUGGUAAAUUCCAUCUAAAGCUAAAUAUUGGCGAGAGACCGAUAGCGAACAAGUACAGUGAUGGAAAGAUGAAAAGAACUUUGAAAAGAGAGUGAAAAAGUACGUGAAAUUGUUGAAAGGGAAGGGCAUUUGAUCAGACAUGGUGUUUUGUGCCCUCUGCUCCUUGUGGGUAGGGGAAUCUCGCAUUUCACUGGGCCAGCAUCAGUUUUGGUGGCAGGAUAAAUCCAUAGGAAUGUAGCUUGCCUCGGUAAGUAUUAUAGCCUGUGGGAAUACUGCCAGCUGGGACUGAGGACUGCGACGUAAGUCAAGGAUGCUGGCAUAAUGGUUAUAUGCCGCC